AAUGCCAAACUAAUUUUUAGAUAGCCCAUUGAGGAUAUCGGGUGUGGGCCUCCAAUCUAUUUUUAUCACACACGCUCGAAUAUCUCGUCAAUGGUAUAUUGACUGUGAAGUUGAUAGAAAGAGAAUAAGUUGAGCGGCUUUCAUGGCUUACUGAUCAAAACUAGCCUGGCUUAUUUUCGAAAUCACGGAAAAACGCCUGUCUCUAGAU